AUUUCCUGGAACCCCGAAAACGCAGCCCCGAAUUUCCAUCUCGCUCGGCGCGCUCGUUUCUCUCCGUUUCGCGUUGGAAGUUUUGGUUCCCUUCGGUUUACUUUCUGUUCACUUUCAUUAAAAUGCCAUCAAGCGAAGGAGUUUAUUGACGGGAGAGCCCAGCGUUACAGGGGCGGUUUUUUUAGUUGGAAAGAAUAAAAGUCUCGAAAGAUGAAGCUUCAUCUUAAAAAAAUAAUAAUAAAAAAAUCAGAACCGGGCUCUUGUUAAUAACUUUGCAAAUGCAACUCCACCUUUUGAUAAAUUUAUUUCAUGCGAGUCGUUACGGGGCCCAGGCGUUCGGUAGGUGAUCUGUGGCCGGUCAUCAAUUAUAGUGAUUUCCUUGCAUCGGCUCCAGAAAAUCAGAAUAUUCAUGAGCUUUCUGGUCUGACUCAGACCUUCGGGAGCCACGACAUUUUCUCGGUGGGACGAGAGAGAGGCAGCGCCGUCGGUGAUUUUUUGGCACCUGAACGAAACCAGAAAUAGAUCCACAGGAGAACAGGGGGUGACGUCCCUUUGUUUUUGUUUGGUCCCCUCGCCCUGCUUUCAAUUUGUGGAAACGUGUGUUUUUUUUAAAACCGCGUUAAACGUGCGCUCGGUUUCAUAAUGCGCUGGGUCGGUGGAGGAAGUGGUUUUGUUUUCGUGAGUUUGUUUAAACAAAUGACCGAGGUUUUUUUUUUGUUUUUCACUCUGUCUGGCCAAGCAGAAUUGCCACACUUUUUUAAAAGCGUGAAACACUGACCAGCGAGUGUUCUUUGCCACCCUCUCCUUUUGUGAUUGCAAGACAGGGAGGCAGACACCAAUGGCGCCUCGCACAAUGGAGGAUGUGGAUCUUUACCUUGAGUCUUUACCUGUGUGGACAUCGCUUCUGCUGACCUGGCUACAGCAGGCGUGCAUUUCUGUGAGCCCCCAGACGGACGCACUCGGCGGCUGGUCAAGGAAAAAGUAUUGAAUCCGCAAGAACUCACCACAAGAAGAGCCCUUUGUUUUGUUAUUUUUAAAGCCAUUGUUAUUAAACACCGGGUUUGGGGCGGUACUAAUCCUGCGCUCUCUCCAUUGGUGUGAAUUAGGACAUUUCAAGUAGAAAUAACUGAGAAAAAUUGUGAAGUCAGGUUAAGCACCGCAGUAAAAUUUCCACCUUUUUAGACA